UCAGGAGGACCGGCGCUCGGGUCCGCCUCAGCGGCGGAUCAGGAAAGUCCGGACUGCCCGCCGCGCCUUCGGGCGCGGCAAAGGUUGGAGGUAACGCCUCCCGUCCGCAAGGAUAGAGUUGCGAACAGCAGACGGCGCCCGCAGCGAUGCGGGAGCUCUCCAGCAACGGAGAAUCUCUGCGGCGACGCAGAGGGUGAAACGGCUAAAGACUGACCCGGCAGCAAGUCCAAGAUGGGGGAAACCUCAGGUGGGACGCCAGAGCCCGGCGGCGACGCCGGGCCCAGAGAAAUGAGACGCCGAAAUUACAGAAUCCGGCUUACGGCCUCCUGAAGUU
rnacentral:RNase_P_RNA from 2 species